rnacentral:rRNA from 1 species
UACGGAGGAUCCAAGCGUUAUCCGGAAUCAUUGGGCUUAAAGGGUCCGUAGGCGGCUUUAUAAGUCAGUGGUGAAAGCCCAUCGCUUAACGAUGGAACGGCCAUUGAUACUGUAGAGCUUGAAUUACUUGGAAGUAACUAGAAUAUGUAGUGUAGCGGUGAAAUGCUUAGAUAUUACAUGGAAUACCAAUUGCGAAGGCAGGUUACUACAAGUGGAUUGACGCUGAUGGACGAAAGCGUGGGGAGCGAACAGG